rnacentral:rRNA from 1 species
CUACGGGUGGCUCCAGUGAGGAAUAUUGCACAAUGGGGGGAACCCUGAUGCAGCAACGCCGCGUGGAGGAUGACGCAUUUCGGUGUGUAAACUCCUUUUAUAUGUCAAGAAAAUGACGGUAGCAUAUGAAUAAGCACCGGCUGAACUCCGUGCCAGCAGCCGCGGUAAUACGGAGGGUGCAAGCGUUACUCGGAAUCACUGGGCGUAAAGGACGCGUAGGCGGGUUGGAAAGUCAGGUGUGAAAUCCUACAGCUUAACUGUAGAACUGCACUUGAAACUUCUAAUCUAGAGUAUGGGAGGGGGAGAUGGAAUUAGUGGUGUAGGGGUAAAAUCCGUAGAUAUCACUAGGAAUACCUAAAGCGAAGGCGAUCUCCUGGAACAUUACUGACGCUAAGGCGUGAAAGCGUGGGGAGCAAACAGGAUUAGAUACCCCUGUAGUC